UGGCUUAGACGGUAAAGUGUCUGCCUACAAAGCGGGAGACCCAGGUUCAAUCCCUGG
rnacentral:tRNA from 1 species